rnacentral:rRNA from 1 species
UACGUAGGUGGCAAGCGUUGUCCGGAUUUAUUGGGUUUAAAGGGUGCGUAGGCGGUCCUAUAAGUCAGUGCUGAAAUAUCCCGGCUUAACCGGGAGGGUGGCAUUGAUACUGCAGGACCUGAGUAAAGUUGAGGUUGGCGGAAUUGACGGUGUAGCGGUGAAAUGCUUAGAUAUCGUCAAGAACACCUAUUGCGAAGGCAGCUAACUAAGCUUUAACUGACGCUGAGGCACGAAAGUGUGGGGAUCAAACAGA